ensembl:snRNA U2 U2 spliceosomal RNA
AUUCUUUCUAGCCUUAAUUUCCCAGGAAACCACUGAUCAAGUGUAGUAUCUGUUCUUAUCAGUUUAAUAUCUGAUACAUCCUCUGUCCGAGGACAAUAUAUUAAAUGGAUUUUUGGGAUUAGGAGUUGGAAUAGGAGCUUGCUCCAUCCACUCCACGCAUCGACCUGGUAUUGCAGUACUUCCAGGAACGGUGCACCAAAG